UACGGAGGAUGCGAGCGUUAUCCGGAUUUAUUGGGUUUAAAGGGUGCGUAGGUGGCUGCUUAAGUCAGCGGUGAAAGUUUGUGGCUCAACCAUAAAAUUGCCGUUGAAACUGGGUAGCUUGAGUAUGUUUGAGGUAGGCGGAAUGCGUGGUGUAGCGGUGAAAUGCAUAGAUAUCACGCAGAACUCCAAUUGCGAAGGCAGCUUACUAAACCAUAACUGACACUGAAGCACGAAAGCGUGGGGAUCAAACAGG
rnacentral:rRNA from 1 species